CACGGGGGGAGCAAGCGUUGUUCGGAAUCACUGGGCGUAAAGCGUGCGCAGGCGGUUUUGUAAGCCAGAUGUGAAAUCCCCGGGCUUAACCUGGGAAUGGCAUUUGGGACUGCAAGGCUCGAGUGCGGCAGAGGAGACUGGAAUUCCUGGUGUAGCAGUGAAAUGCGUAGAUAUCAGGAGGAACACCGAUGGCGAAGGCAGGUCUCUGGGCUGACACUGACGCUCAUGCACGAAAGCGUGGGGAGCAAACAGG
rnacentral:rRNA from 1 species